UCAAAUUUACACAAAACUCAUUAAAAUAAGGCUUUGAAGGCUAAACAAAGAUAGGCUCGUGAUCUAAAAAACAACAAAGCCUAAUUAAGGACCAAGUCUCUGGAGCAACACUCACAGAGAUAGACAACACUCUAGGGCAAGAGAUAGAAGAGACUGCCCCCCCAGUGGCUCCAAAAACUGACAAAAGGUUUUGAAGGUUACUUCUCAGUUGAUAGUAGUGGUGCUAGUGGUGGCUUAGCGCUCCUCUGGAAGGCAAAGAACUGUCCACCUCUUGAGUUUUUCCAAAUCUCAUAUAGAUGUCUCUAUAAAGUUGAAUGAUAAACCUCCAUGGCAUCUCAUUGGCUUCUACGGGAAUCCAGACAGAAGUCAAAGGCAUCUCUCUUGGGACCUUCUUCAUUUGUUAAAAUCCAAGUCUGACCUCCCCUGGUGUUGCAUAGGCGACUUCAACAAUCUUCUUGACCCUUCAGAAAAAAAGAGGUUUGGUUGCUCAUCCCACAAGAUUGCUAAGGGGUUUUAGAGAGGCCAUUUUGGAUUGUGGGCUCAUGGAUAUAGGCAUGGAGGGCCACAUAUUCAAUUGGGAAAGGGGUAGAAGUUCAAUCAAUUAGGUGGAGGAGAGACUCGAUAGAGCUCUAGUGUCGUCAGAUUAUGAAGGAUGGGAAGGCUAUUCUAGCCUCAUAUCGCUCUUGCAGAGAUCAAGCUUCUUUGGCUCGUUUUGAUUCUGUCUAGAGAAAUUAUGAUAAGGCUCUUGGAGAUUAUGAGAUGUAAUGGAAGCAGCGUGCCAAACAAUUUUGGCUAAAAGGGGGAGAUGCAAGCUUCAAUGAGGCACAAAAAAAAAAUUCUAUCAAGCAUCUUGGGGACGCCUAGGGGACUUGGUAUGAUUGGAACUUAGGUAUGGAUAGAGUUAUCUUGGAUUUCUUUACUAACCUGAUUAAAUCUAGGGGUUACAUAGGUGAAGAUAUUUUCUCCAGUCACUUCUAGAGUCUCAGAAGAGCAAAAUCAUGCUCUCUUUGCCCCUUUUGAAGCUGAGGAAAUAAAAUCGACAGUGUUCUCCAUGCA